CGAAUUUCUUGGGCUCAGAACCAGUUGUGAUGCGGAGCUUAGAUCAACUGAAUUCCUGACUUCAUGGCUUAAUGGGGAUGUGAGAGGACAGCGGACAUUGCAGAAAAAGUGGACGUCAUUUCUAAAGACUCACCUGAACUGUCCUGUCCCUCAAACCAGACUACCACUUCUCAUACAGGAUGUGUUCCUCUUCUGUCCAGACACCUGGAAAACCUGUAUAUUCUAUGGUGUCUUCACUCCUCAGGGUCCAAAAGCCUCGUAGUCUGUUGGAUAGGAUCUCUAAAUUUCCAAGGGAUAGGCUCCAGGUUCCUCACAACCCUCUGUAGGGUA